rnacentral:tRNA from 1 species
AUUAGGAUGGCCGAAACCAGGUAGAAAGCUGUAAACUUUCCCAUGAGCAUGCCUCUCCUCAU